AUUUACCCUUCUGAAGACUUCUGCUUUCCGCGGUCCCAGCAAAGCUGCUGGACGCGCUCAGCACUGGAUCCACCGGAUACUGGAUUCGGUAAUGGUGAUUUGGGGCUAAAUAUCCGAGGGAGAUCGGACGGCAAGGGGCUCCGCCCCGGUGUGGCGCCCCCGAGAGAAAGAGCGAGAGGAGUGCUCGAAGGGGCGUAGAAGAAAAGGAUCUUUACAGUUUAGGGUAGUGAAGAGGUAAGAAGUAGGACUUGGAGACAGUUUUACUUUUCUUGUUUUGCGAAGAAGUCCAAGGAAAGUUCUAGUUUUAUUUAAAACGAUGAAUAAACAGUACAGCCAAAACGAUGUCGCACUACAGCACCGUAUGAUAAUCUUAAAGCACUCCCAGCAUGCAGAAUUUCCAGGGCCAGGAAUCGAACUUGCGGCACAGCAGUGAAAAUAAAGGUUAACUGCCAGGUCACCAGGGACCUCCUGUUCUAAUGUUUUUAUUAUAAACACACAAAGCUGUGACUACAAAAAUCAAACUAAGACUAUAUA